rnacentral:rRNA from 1 species
GAUGAACGCUGGCGGCGUGCCUAAUACAUGCAAGUCGAGCGAACAGACGAGGAGCUUGCUCCUCUGACGUUAGCGGCGGACGGGUGAGUAACACGUGGAUAACCUACCUAUAAGACUGGGAUAACUUCGGGAAACCGGAGCUAAUACCGGAUAAUAUAUUGAACCGCAUGGUUCAAUAGUGAAAGACGGUUUUGCUGUCACUUAUAGAUGGAUCCGCGCCGCAUUAGCUAGUUGGUAAGGUAACGGCUUACCAAGGCGACGAUGCGUAGCCGACCUGAGAGGGUGAACCGGCACACUGGAACUGAGAAAACGGUCAGAAUCCUAAGGGGAGGAGGAGGAGGGAAACCUUCGGAAUGGGGGGAAACCCGAACGAGCCACGGCGCGUGAGGGAAGAAGGGCUUCGGGUCGGAAAAACUUGGUUUUAGGGAAAAACAAAUGGGUAAGUUAACAUGCACGUCUUGAACGGACCUAAUCAGAAAGGCACGGCUAACUACGUG